UCAAGCGAAUAAGGGCUGACGGUGGAUACCUAGGCACGCAGCGGCGAAGAAGGACGUGGUUACCGACGAUAUGCUCCGGGGAGUUGGAAGCAAACAUUGAGCCGGAGAUUUCCGAAUGGGGCAACCCUAUAUACUACUUGUUGAACACAUAGACAAGUGAGAGCCAACCCAGCGAAUUGAAACAUCUUAGUAGCUGGAGGAAAAGAAAUCAAACGAGAUUCCCUUAGUAGUGGUGAGCGAAGGGGGAAGAGCCUAAACCAAAAUACAUGUAUUUUGGGGUAGUGGGACAGCGACAUGGAAUCGAGCGAUUAGACGAAGCAUUUAAUCGAUGCACCAAAGAAAGUAAAAGUCUUGUAGUCGAAAAUUUAACGAUACUAGCUGAAUCCCGAGUAGCAUGGAGCACGUGAAAUUCCAUGUGAAUCAGCCACGACCACGUGGUAAGGCUAAAUACGUCUGCGUGAGCGAUAGCGAACAAGUACCGCGAGGGAAAGGUGAAAAGAACCCCGUUGAGGGGAGUGAAAUAGAACAUGAAACCGUCAGCUUACAAGCAGUGGGAGUUCGAUUAAACGAAUGACCGCGUGCCUGUUGAAGAAUGAGCCGGCGAGUUAUAUGUGCUGGUAGGUUAAGUAGUAGUUACGAAGCCAAAGCGAAAGCGAGUCUGAAUAGGGCGAUUAUCAGUAUGUAUAGACCCGAACCCUGGCGAUCUAACCAUGUCCAGGAUGAAGCUUGGGUAACACCAAGUGAAGGUCCGAACCGACUAAUGUUGAAAAAUUAGCGGAUGAGGUGUGGUUAGGGGUGAAAUGCCAAUCGAGCCAGGAGCUAGCUGGUUCUCCCCGAAAUGUGUUUAGGCGCAGCGGUGAAUAUUAAGCUUUGGGGGUAAAGCACUGUUUCGGUGCGGGCUGGGAGACCGGUACCAAAUCGAGACAAACUCAGAAUACCAAAGUGUACUAUCACUAGUAAGACGGUGAGGGAUAAGCUUCAUCGUCAAGAGGGAAACAGCCCAGACCACCAGCUAAGGUCCCCAAAUCAAUGUUAAGUGGGAAAGGAGGUGCAAGUGCAAAGACAACCAGGAGGUUUGCCUAGAAGCAGCCACCCUAGAAUGAGUGCGUAAUAGCUCACUGGUCAAGCGCUUGCGCGCCGAAAAUGAACGGGACUAAACAUUGUACCGAAGCUGUGGACUUGAAAAAGUGGUAGGGGAGCGUUCUAUUUGAUGCGAAGCAGUAGCGGCGAGCAGCUGUGGAUUGAAUAGAAGUGAGAAUGUCGGCUUGAGUAGCGCAAAUAUUGGUGAGAAUCCAAUACCCCGAAACCCCAAGGGUUCCAGAGGCAGGUUCGUCCACUCUGGGUAAGUCGGGACCUAAGGCGAGGGCGAAAGCCGUAGUCGAUGGACAUGAGGUUAAUAUUCCUCAACUAGAAUUGUGGAGCAUUAUUUGGGACGCACCGUUGAAGCAACUAUGCCCUGAUUGGAUUGGGAGGGGAAUACGUUCUCCGUUUAGUUGUGAUUGGUGUCAAGAAAAGCAAUUAAUGUGUUGAAGCAGUUAUACCCGUACUCGAAACCGACACAGGUGGGGAGGUAGAGAAUACCAAGGGGCGCGAGAUAACUCUCUCUAAGGAACUCGGCAAAAUAGCCCCGUAACUUCGGAAGAAGGGGUGCCCAGUGAAAACUGGGUCGCAGUGAAUAGGUCCAGGCGACUGUUUACCAAAAACACAGGUCUCUGCAAACGAGUAAUCGGAAGUAUAGGGGCUGACGCCUGCCCAGUGCCGGAAGGUUAAGGAAGUUGGUCAGGGGGAAACUUUAAAGCUGACGACCGAAGCCCCGGUGAACGGCGGCCGUAACUAUAACGGUCCUAAGGUAGCGAAAUUCCUUGUCGGGUAAGUUCCGACCCGCACGAAAGGCGUAACGAUCUGGACGGUGUCUCGGAGAGAGACUCGGCGAAAUAGGAUUGUCUGUGAAGAUACGGACUGCCUGCACCUGGACAGAAAGACCCUAUGAAGCUUUACUGUAGCCUGGAAUUGUGUUCGGGCUUGGCUUGCGCAGGAUAGGUGGGAAGCGUAGAGACAUUCCUUGUGGGGAAUGUGGAGCUAACGGUGAGAUACCACUCUGGCGAAGCUAGAAUUCUAACCAAUGUCCGUAAUCCGGAAUUGGAACAUUUUCAGGUGGGCAGUUUGACUGGGGCGGUCGCCUCCUAAAAGGUAACGGAGGCGCGCAAUGGUUCUCUCAGCACGGUUGGAAAUCGUGCGUCGAGUGUAAAGGCAAUAAGAGAGCUUGACUGUGAUACCAACAAGUAGAACAGGUACGAAAGUAGGCCUUAGUGAUCCGACGGCGCAGAGUGGAAUGGCCGUCGCUCAACGGAUAAAAGUUACUCUAGGGAUAACAGGCUGAUCUCCCCCAAGAGUCCACAUCGACGGGGAGGUUUGGCACCUCGAUGUCGGCUCAUCGCAACCUGGGGCGGAAGUACGUCCCAAGGGUUGGGCUGUUCGCCCAUUAAAGCGGUACGUGAGCUGGGUUCAGAACGUCGUGAGACAGUUCGGUCCAUAUCCGGUGCAGGCGUAAGAACAUUGAGAGGAGCCUUCCUUAGUACGAGAGGACCGGGAAGGACGAACCGCUGGUGUGCCAGUUAUUCCGCCAGGAGUAAACGCUGGGUAGCCAUGUUCGGAGCGGAUAACCGCUGAAAGCAUCUAAGUGGGAAGCCCACCUCAAGAUGAGUGUUCUCAUCACUAUAAGUGAGUAAGGUCACACGUAGAACACGUGUUAAUAGGCUUUAGGUGGAAGCGUGGUAACAUGCGAAGCCGAGAAGUACUAACAGACCGAGGGCUUGACCU
rnacentral:rRNA from 1 species